AGAAAUGUGAAACCUAAGAGAUGACCGGUGAGGGGAUCUUAACCCUUGACUUUGACUUUGGUGACUUGGUGUUGUAAGCACCACACUCUCCCAGGCUGAAGCUUGAGCUUUUCAUGCUGUCAUCUCCUGCUACGGAAACAGCUCAUAACCCUAACUCACCUUUUGGAAGGAAGCUGCCCUAGAGAGCAACUGGGCUUACAAUGGACUUUAAGCCAGAAAUAAACUUUUAUGUAUUAAACUA